rnacentral:rRNA from 1 species
AGCGGCGGACGGGUGAGUAACGCGUGGGUAACCUGCCCUGUACGCACGGAUAACAUACCGAAAGGUAUGCUAAUACGAGAUAAUAUACUUUUAUCGCAUGGUAGAAGUAUCAAAGCUUUUGCGGUACAGGAUGGACCCGCGUCUGAUUAGCUAGUUGGUAAGGUAACGGCUUACCAAGGCGACGAUCAGUAGCCGACCUGAGAGGGUGAUCGGCCACAUUGGAACUGAGACACGGUCCAAACUCCUACGGGAGGCAGCAGUGGGGAAUAUUGCACAAUGGGCGAAAGCCUGAUGCAGCAACGCCGCGUGAGCGAUGAAGGCCUUCGGGUCGUAAAGCUCUGUCCUCAAGGAAGAUAAUGACGGUACUUGAGGAGGAAGCCCCGGCUAACUACGUGCCAGCAGCCGCGGUAAUACGUAGGGGGCUAGCGUUAUCCGGAAUUACUGGGCGUAAAGGGUGCGUAGGUGGUUCCUUAAGUCAGAGGUGAAAGGCUACGGCUCAACCGUAGUAAGCCUUUGAAACUGGGAAACUUGAGUGCAGGAGAGGAGAGUGGAAUUCCUAGUGUAGCGGUGAAAUGCGUAGAUAUUAGGAGGAACACCAGUUGCGAAGGCGGCUCUCUGGACUGUAACUGACACUGAGGCACGAAAGCGUGGGGAGCAAACAGGAUUAGAUACCCUGGUAGUCCACGCCGUAAACGAUGAGUACUAGCUGU